AUUAUCAGGUUGGCGUACUCUCCUCCUUAGCCGACCUCUGACUUUAGUCUCAUCUAAACCGAAAGAUGUCAUAAUUUUAAGAUAUUUUGCAUUUGGAUCAAUUUCCCCUGCAGUUUUGGCCAGUGUGCAUCUCAUCCUUAAAAUGGUUUUAGAAUAAGUUAUCAUCUAAAUGAAAUUUUGCAUUAUUUUCUAAUAAAUUCUAAAACACAGUUACAUAUGCAUUUUGUUAAAAUUUAGAAAUCAACCCUGUAAAUCGUUACGAAUUAAUCGUCACUGGAUCUCGGAAGGCUAUGAUUCCAUCGUGUCAGGAAUAUUGUUCGCUGUGAAUAUCGUUUUUGUCGUGAUGUGUCAUCACGAAACAAGAAAAACACGAAAAGAGGUUGAAUUUUUACAUAAAUCUGAAACUCUAGUUAAAGCGGAUAGAACUACCCGAUUACGACUCUACGUGAAACUACUACUGCUACUCUUCAUCUUUAAUUAUUGCAUGGUGAUGAUUAAUGAUGCCCUAACGUGGGUGGAUAUAACGCCGUAUACGGAUCCAACCUAUGUUUCAUUCGUACUAAGAAAUCUGACCUGCAUGCAUGGCACAUUAUUAUUAUUUGUACUCAUGGGGCAGAAAUCAACCCUGAUAGGAUUGCGAAAAGUGGUGGAGAAAAUUAACGAGAGAAUCAAAUGCGAAAUUGGUUCUCGAGAUGCAGGCCCAAUGCAGGGAACAGCAUUACUCCUGUCAAAAGUUCGCUGUUUUACUAUGAAAUUAAAGAAAAAGAUUGUGACUAUGUUACUUAAAUUGUCGGAAUUCUGUCAAUUUGUGGAGUGUAAGAUGACAUUUUGUAAAAAAGAGA